GUGAAUCAUCAAAUCUUUGAACGCAAAUUUCACUCCCUUCGGAGAGUAUGCCUGUUUGAGGGUCAGCCUAAAAAAAAUCGACGUAGUCGCUGUUUCGCGGUGACAUUCGUCGGACAUUGGGUCAUCUAAAACCUUUGGGUUUUUUAAGAGGCUUAAAAUUUUCUUUACGAUUCCACGAACGUUUCUAAGAUUUACUUACACGUUUAAGGUAUCGAUCUUUAUUAGUCGUGGCUGUUGCAUCGGAUCGCGUCCAUAAAUCUUUUGUUAAUUGA
rnacentral:misc_RNA from 1 species